AGCCUAGGAGAUGCAGCCAGUCCUUGUAGGGAUCCUCAUCUGGGUGCCCCACUGGCUCAGGAGGAAGGCCAUGGAUACCACCCACAGAGAGAGCCAAGAGGAACAUGAGAGGGGCUCAGGGAAUGAGCCUUUGUGAGACCAGAGUUGUGGGUGGAAGAGGAACUGUCGGACUGACCCUCCCAGGAAGCCUUAGCCCUUGGGAGAGUUCAGCUGACAGUGUGGAGAAAUCAAAGGCUUCAAGGGGUACCUUCAGUCUCAGCCUCAGCUCCCCAGCCUCCCCACGUUCACCUCUCUCACCUCUCCAUCAUGGCCACCCACGCCUUCCUCCCAUUUCCUCGUCCUUGACAGGCUUGUGUUCUCAUUAAUCUCCUUCAUCUUCCUCUCCCAUUUGUUUUUGUUUGUUUGAAAGACACGGCCAUGUAAGAAACGCCUCAUCUCUUUUUCUGCUGGUGGCUUUUCAGUCCCUACUGGCCUUAAAGAGCAGUGUGUUAUCACGAACAAAGUACCACAGGUUUCCCACUCUGGGUCCUGUCACCACACUCCUGAGAACGAGAGCUCAGCAAGUGAGUCAAUAGAAACCCAAGAGAAAGAAGUCGCACAUACAUCAUGUCGUUUGUGGCAUCUACAAAAGUCUAUAGUGACAUGUUCUGUAAGACUCCUGUGGGUUAGUAACCUCUUUAAUGUGAUUCACUGGGAGACUUUGUGUCCAUUAAGAAUCCUGCUUAUAAACAGUGUGGCAGCUUGGGAAACCCUGAAUAUUCAUGUGACAAGAGAAGGAUACAAAAUGACUACUGCUCGGUAUAAUUAUAUACAUUCAAAAGGCUGGUG
rnacentral:lncRNA from 1 species